CCUGCUCAAUGAAAUUAAAUAGCCGCAAUUUUAGUGCUAAGGUAGCAUAAUAAUUUGUUCCCUAAUUGGGAAAUUGCAUGAAUGAAUACACAUUUAUAUUCUAUAAUUUAUACUUACAUUUAAAUUAAAUUAAAGAUUAAAAUAUCUUUAUUAAAAAGGAAGACGACAAGACCCUAAGAACUUAACUAAUAGAUUAACUGGGGAAGUUAUAUAAAUAUAAUUUAUUAAAUAAAUAACCAUAUAAGCUAAAUAGAAUUUAAACAAAGUUACCUUAGGGAUAACAGCGCAAUUUAUAUUUUAAGAUCUUAUAAAAAUAUAAAAUUACGACCUCGAUGUUGAAUUAAUAUGUCUAUAAUAAGCAUAAAUAUUACAAGAAAGUCUGUUCGACUUAUAACCUAUUACAU
rnacentral:rRNA from 1 species